rnacentral:lncRNA from 1 species
GAAAGUAGAUGAAGGAUUUCUCUCUGCGUUUUAUGUUUCGACAUUUCGUCAAAAAUAAAUUUCUCUUAGAUCAAAAGAUUAAUAAAAAAAAUCAAAAUUCACAGGUAUGUAUGGUAAAUAAUCUGUUGGCGCAAAAAAAGACAAAUCAUCUCUCUCCUCGCUCCAUUAAUGCCUACUAUAACCCUAGCGUGAUACCUUUAUGCGGGUUUUUUCAUAAAGGUACGACGUAAUUUUCUAAUAUCUAUGAUGGCGCGUGGUGGUUCUAUCGAAGACAUCAGAUGGUAAGGAUUAUCGAUACCUUUAUUUUUCACAAAAUAAAAUCGCGACUUUUUGUGUAUAUUCGCUCGAUGAAUAAAUGUAUCUCGGACACGUUAUAGAGAUUAGCAAAAUUUCAAUUUUAUAUGGUUGAAUAAAAUAUAUAUGAAAUAUUUCAGUUUCAUAGGAAUAAUGCCCUUGGGUAUGGGCGGAUCCGUCAGCUGUAGACCAAGCGUGGCCAAAUAUUUUUUUCUGAGUACCAAAUUCAUAUUCUUAUAAUGAUAAAUGUUUUUAAUCGUAAUUUUUCGUUUUGGUUUUCCAUUAAUCAACAAUAAAAAUAAAUCCAGAAAUUGGCUUUGGUUCGAUUUAAAAUCGAUGUUAUCUGGCUAUAUCUGGUUCAAAUUCCCUAGUUUAAUAAUAUAUUUUAAAUAAAUUAUGGACCCAGAACCAAAUGUAGCCUGACAUCUAAAUUUAUUCGGAUCAGAGUUACAGUAUUUCAGAAUAAUUGAUAUAUCCUGGUUGGGGAAAAGACAAAAAUUCUUAAUUUGAAAUGCAAAAUAAUCAUUUCUGAUAAGUUAAAAUAAAUUAAAGCAAAAUGGGGAGUUGAAACAUUUAAUAAUUGAUGGUGCUGUUUCUGAUCCUUUCAAUAUUCUCCGUUUAACUUUUAUCCUGUUUGAUCAAUCUUUUUAAAUUUAGUCUACUUCAGCCAGUGAUGAUAUGAAUUUACUCAAAAUUUAUUUAAUGUAGAUAUAAAUAUACUUUUCUAAAAAUAUCAAUUUUCUUCGAAAAUUUCUUAAGAAAUGAAUUUUGAAUUGUUUUUUCCCAGGAAUAAAUCUUUGUUAUAGGUAAGUAUAAAAU